rnacentral:rRNA from 1 species
CACGUAGGGUGCGAGCGUUGUCCGGAAUUAUUGGGCGUAAAGAGCUCGUAGGCGGUGUGUCGCGUCGGCCGUGAAAACCUGCAGCUUAACUGUGGGCUUGCGGUCGAUACGGGCAUCACUGGAGUUCGGCAGGGGAGACUUGGAAUCCUGGUGUAGCGGUGAAAUGCGUAGAUAUCAGGGAGGAACACCGGUGGCGAAAGGCGGCUUUCUGGACAGAAACUGACG